GAAGACGUUGAUAGGCUGGGUGUGUAAGCGUAGCGAUACGUUGAGCUAACCAGUACUAAUGAACCGUGAGGCUUAACCUG
rnacentral:rRNA from 1 species